rnacentral:rRNA from 1 species
AUUGAACGCUGGCGGCAGGCCUAACACAUGCAAGUCGAGCGAGCGGCGGACGGGUGAGUAAUGUAUGGGGACUGCCCGUUAGAGGGGGAUAACUCCUGGAAACGGUAGCUAAUACCGCAUACUAUCGGAUAACCCAUAUGGGAUUAGCUAGUAGGUGAGGUAAUGGCUCACCUGGGCGACGAUCCCUAGCCGGUCUGAGAGGAUGAUCCGCCACACUGGGACGGAGACACGGCCCAGACGCCUACGGAGGCAGCAGUGGGGAAUAUUGGACAAUGGUGGCAAGCCUGAUGCAGCCAUGGCGAGUGUAUGAAGGAGGCCCUAGGGGUGUAAAGUACUUUCAGUCGGGAGGCGUUACCGACAGAAGAAGCACCGGCUAACUCCGUGCCAGCAGCCGCGGUAAUAC